CAAUAGCGUAUAUUAAAGUUGUUGCGGUUAAAAAGCUCGUAGUUGGAUUUCUGCUGAGGACGAUCGGUCCGCCCACUGGGUGAGUAUCUGGCUCGGCCUUGGCAUCUUCUUGGAGAACGUUGCUGCACUUGACUGUGUGGUGCGGUAUCCAGGACUUUUACUUUGAGGAAAUUAGAGUGUUUCAAGCAGGCGCACGCCUUGAAUACAUUAGCAUGGAAUAAUAAGAUAGGACCUUAGUUCUAUUUUGUUGGUUUCUAGAGCUGAGGUAAUGAUUAAUAGGGAUAGUUGGGGGCAUUCGUAUUUAACUGUCAGAGGUGAAAUUCUUGGAUUUGUCAAAGACGGACUACUGCGAAAGCAUUUGCCAAGGAUGUUUUCAUUGA
rnacentral:rRNA from 1 species